AGUGAACGCUGGCGGCAGGCCUAACACAUGCAAGUCGAACGGCAGCACGGCAGUAGCAAUACUGUGGGUGGCGAGUGGCGGACGGGUGAGGAAUACAGUCGGGAUCCUACCCUGUUGGUGGGGGAUAACGUAGGGAAACUUACGCUAAUACCGCAUAAAGAACUGAGGUUGAAAGCGGCGGACCGCAAGGCGUCGCGCGAUUGGAUGAACCGAUGUCCGAUUAGCUAGUUGGCGGGGUAAAGGCCCACCAAGGCGACGAUCGGUAGCAGGUCUGAGAGGACGACCAGCCACACUGGAACUGAGACACGGUCCAGACUCCUACGGGAGGCAGCAGUGGGGAAUA
rnacentral:rRNA from 1 species